rnacentral:rRNA from 1 species
CGGCGCGCCUAACACAUGCAAGUCGAACGGGGUGCGUUCGAAUGAAGUUUUCGGAUGGAAUUUGGAUGUACCUAGUGGCGAACGGUGAGUAACACGUGAAUAACCUGCCCUGGAGUGGGGGACAACAGUUGGAAACGACUGCUAAUACCGCAUAAGCCCACAGAGCCGCAUGGCUCGAAGGGGGAAAAGGAGCAAUUCGCUUCAGGAUGGAUUCGCGUCCAAUUAGCUGGAUGGUGGGGCAACGGCCCACCAAGGCGACGAUCAGUAGCCGGUCUGAGAGGAUGAACGGCCACAUUGGGACUGAGAUACGGCCCAGACUCCUACGGGAGGCAGCAGGUGGGGAAUAUUGGGCAAUGGGGGAAACCCUGACCCAGCAACGCCGCGUGAAGGAAGAAGGCCCUCGGGUUGUAAACUUCUUUACCAGGGACGAAGGACGUGACGGUACCUGGAGAAAAAGCAACGGCUAACUACGUG